UUUAGUUAAAAAACUUAGCGCUGCUACGCUGAACAAUGUGCUAAUGAAAUUAGCCCCGACUCCGGCUAUCCGACGGCGAUUCACGCGGAAUUCGCCCGUGACAAAAUAUUAUACAGAUCUUCAAUUCUCCUGUAGGAAUAGUUUGAUCUUAGCUCUGUUUCAGGUAUAUGAUUAUAUUGAAGACUAUAAGAAGAAUAAAAAAGACGUAGAUAAAAGAGGAAAAAAAUGAGUGCCAAAAAAAAAUUAUAUUGUGAAGUAUCCGAUUGCAAUUUACAAGAAAAUGUGGAGAAAACACAUUUUUUUAAAUUUCCAAAGGAGUAUGAUAGAUAGUUGCAAUGGACGCGAGCAUGCGGAAGAUCAGAUUUGGGACCAAAAGGUCCAGAAUAUGCGAGUCAAAACUGUCGUUUGUGCCAUUUACAUUUUGAAGAAAAAUGGUACAAUGUGAACAAAAUUAGAGCUCGCCUCCACUUAGCUAUACCCACAAAAUUUUCUGGGUCGAUUUUUGACAAAAACAAUGCAGCUAUUUCAAAUAUGGAGGAAGAAAAUGCAUAAAGAUGCAAUUCAAGUUCCUUCUGAAACAACAUAACAUGAAAAAGUACAAAUUCUGGGCAAAACAGGACAACAGAAGGAAACACAAAAAAUGGAAGCAGAUAUGAAAAUAG